GAUGAAGAACGUAGCGAAAUGCGAUACGUAAUGUGAAUUGCAGAAUUCAGUGAAUCAUCGAAUCUUUGAACGCAUAUUGCGCUCUCUGGUAUUCCGGAGAGCAUGCUUGUUUGAGUAUCAGUAAACACCUCAACUCCCCUUUCUUUUUUGAAAUGGGAGCUGGACUUGAGUGAUCCCAACGCUUUUCUCACCGAAAAGUGGCGGGUUACUUGAAAUGCAGGUGCAGCUGGACUUUUCUCUGAGCUAAAAGCAUAUCUAUUUAGUCUGCCUAAAAACAGAUUAUUACCUUUGCUGCAGCUAACAUAAGGAGAUUAGUUCUUGUGCUGACUGAUGCAGGAUUCACAGAGACAGCUUCGGCUGGCCUUUGUAAACUCGAUCUCAAAUCAAGUAAGACUACCCGCUGAACUUAAGCAUAUCAAUAAGCGGAGGA
rnacentral:misc_RNA from 1 species